GUUCCAUAUUAACAGGGAGGGUAAAGAGUAUUUGAACAUAGUCCCAUCUAUCUAUUACUAGUGGAUAUAUAGAGGCUUUAUCAAUUUGAUACUAUCCAACUAAGUGCAACUUAUUGACAGUUACUAGCUUUUGAACUUUAUCUCUUAAAUAUAUUGACUAUUGUGUCUAUUGUAGAAGUCAAUUUGUUAGUAACAACUUAGUUAGUUACACUUCUAUAUACAAGAGAUUACCAUAUUUUAUUGUAUAAAUCAAUUUAUUAGUAACCACUUAC